rnacentral:rRNA from 1 species
AUUGGACGCUGGCGGCAUGCUUUACACAUGCAAGUCGAACGGUAACAGGCCUUCGGGUGCUGACGAGUGGCGAACGGGUGCGUAAUGCAUCGGAACGUACCCAGAGGUGGGGGAUAACGCAGCGAAAGCUGUGCUAAUACCGCAUGUGAUCUGAGGAUGAAAGCGGGGGACCGAGCAGCAAUGUUUGGCCUCGCGCCUUUUGAGCGGCCGAUGUCGGAUUAGCUAGUUGGUGGGGUAAAGGCCUACCAAGGCGACGAUCCGUAGCUGGUCUGAGAGGACGACCAGCCACACUGGGACUGAGACACGGCCCAGACUCCUACGGGAGGCAGCAGUGGGGAAUUUUGGACAAUGGGCGCAAGCCUGAUCCAGCAAUGCCGCGUGCGGGAAGAAGGCCUUCGGGUUGUAAACCGCUUUUGGCAGGAACGAAACGGUGUCCGCUAAUACCGGGCGCUAAUGACGGUACCUGCAGAAUAAGCACCGGCUAACUACGUG